AGGGCACCACCAGGAGUGGAGCCUGCGGCUUAAUUUGACUCAACACGGGGAAACUCACCCGGCCAGGACACAAUAAGGAUUGACGGAUUGAUAGCUCUUUCUUGAUUUUGUGGGUGGUGGUGCAUGGCCGUUCUUAGUUGGUGGAGCGAUUUGUCUGGUUAAUUCCGAUAACGAACGAGACUCUAGCCUAUUAAAUAGACGAUAUAUUAUUAGUUUAUCGAGCUUCUUAGAGGGACAGGCAGCUUCUAGCUGCACGAGGUUGAGCAAUAACAGGUCUGUGAUGCCCUUAGAUGUCCGGGGCUGCACGCGCGCUACAAUGAUAAUAGCAGCGUGCAUUAAAACCUUUUCUGGUAAGAAUUGGUAAACACGAAAUAUUGUCGUGCUUGGGAUAGGGGAUUGAAAUUAUUGCCCUUAAACGAGGAAUUCCCAGUAAGUGCGAGUCAUUAGCUUGCGUUGAUUACGUCCCUGCCCUUUGUACACACCGCCCGUCGCUACUACCGAUUGGAAGAUUUAGUGAAU
rnacentral:rRNA from 1 species